AUUGAAUUUCAAUAUCUGUCAGUGGUGAUGCAAAACAGUGUUUACAAUAUUGGCGCAUCUGUUUCUAUGAACGAACGAGAUGAAAUGCCAUCAAUAUGCAAGUUCUCUUGAUAUACCGUCCGGGAAGAGUGCUGAAUUGGUCAAGGAUGCGUAUAAUAUUGGAGAUUGAGCAAGAAGCACAGAAUCCGCUGGAUGUGUUUUUUCCAAGUUAACAGCAAUUGUUGCUGUCUGUUGUUAUCAGCGAGCCGAAAUAAGUAUGUUAGAUAGCCUAAGAUUGGAUAAUUCUGGACAGAUUUCCCGGGAAACCGUUAUCAUCCCUGAUUCUCGAUUGUACCAUGUGCGAAGGUGCGGUCUGCGAAUAUGUGACCCCUGGGAGAAUUUUUCAUAUUUAGCGUUAGUGUAUACAUAAAUCAUUCUUUAGAAGAAUUGUUGAAAAUUUUUCUGUUUUCUUUAUAUAAUUCUUUUCGGCUGUAUUCUUAUUUCAAUGAUUUUUUUAUGUUUGUAAAUAUUGUUUGCUGGUUUGUGGUAUUACUCCAACGAAAAAUAAAUAUAUACAUCCAUUUUUUAGAAA